rnacentral:rRNA from 1 species
AGACGUCUACAUUAGAUACCCGUGUAGUCCUAGCCGUAAACGAUACUCGCUAGGUGUCGGCCACGGUGCGACCGUUGUCGGUGCCGUAGGGAAGCCGUGAAGCGAGCCACCUGGGAAGUACGGCCGCAAGGCUGAAACUUAAAGGAAUUGGCGGGGGAGCACCACAACGGGUGGAGCUUGCGGUUUAAUUGGAUUCAACGCCGGAAAUCUUACCGGGACCGACAGCAACAUGAAGGCCAGGCUGAAGACUUUGCCGGAUUAGCUG